GAGGAGGUAGUAUGAAAUGUUGACAAGGUGGGCUGGAUUGGUAUAGGAGUAAAGCUUGGUGCUGGUUAAGGUCUCUCACAGCAAACUUAAGGGAAAGUUUCUUUUUGGAAUUAGGAAUAGGAAAGGGAAAUGUUCUCAAAUCCUUGAAACCCAAUCUUAAUAGGAAAUAUUGCAUAUACGACAUAUCAAUACAAAAAGUGACCAUUAUGAUUCGUUUAUGAAAAAUACAGUGAAUGCAACACCUCUUUUGAUAACGUGCUGAAAAUGUUUGGGAAACAAGGGGACAAGUUCUGGAGUUUAGGUAGGCUAAGUACACCAGGACUCUUCUACUUCUGAGCCAAGCCGUGCAGACUGUUGUUUGACUAUCUCGAUAACAAAGGUCUUCUCCGAUAAAGGUGGUGUCUGGAUGGCAGCAUAUGUUGCUCCAAAGCCUAUUAACUGUAUAAUGUUUAGUAUUUAUAGUGCCUUUCCCAGAUGGCUAAUGCCAUGGGUGCUUAAGCAGCCCAUACCAUCACAGAUCCCAGCUUUUGAAUAGUGCACCAACAACAAGCUAGGGGUGGUUCCCCUCCUACAAGCCGGGCCCUUGCCUGGCAUUCCUUGACAAAUUCACCUGAUGGCAAAAGUGAUUAUGUGCUGGCAAAUGGGCCAGGCUAGCAUUGUCCAUGAUUUAUAAAAAGAAAUGUCCAUGAUUUCUAAAAAAAGACCAUCUAAAGCAGUGGUUCUCAAGUCCAGUCCUCGGGGCCCACUGUCCUGCAUGUUUUGGAUGUUUCCCUGCUCCAACACACCUGAUUCAAAUGAUCAGCUCGUUAUUCAGUCAUUACAGAGCUUGAUAACGAGCUGAUCAUUUGAAUCAGGUGUGUUGGAGCUGUGAUCUAAAGCAUGCUCAAGUGCAGACUUACAAGGACUUCUGUUGGUAAUAGUUUUCUUUUAGACACCAUGGAACAUUAUAACCUGGAUUCUUGAAUGCAGAAACAGUCUAUGAACAAAGACUCUUGGAGCAAAUACAGUGAUUUCUAGUACAGAGUCUUGUCAGUUUUCAUUGCAGCCUGAGGGCCUAAAGGUCAGGGCUAUCCAUUUAAGAUUCUCUGGGGUCAUUUAAAGAAAUGAUGAUGAUGGAAUCCCCCAAAUCUUGGGCUGAAGAAAAUGAUCAAAGACUGUUGAGAAAUUUGCUCAUGCAGUGUCUCGUUGUGGUAAACCUCUCUCUAGUUUCAACCUCUCUAAUACGGAGAUGUGUUCUUAACUCUUUCACUCUUAAAAAUGUGAAAAUAGAGGCAAAUUGUUUGAAAAGUUGUAAACAGUGAUUGGAAAAAUGCCCAGCAGGUUGAUAUAUACAGUUAAUUGUUUAUAGUGUGUAUGGUUUGAAUAAUUCCUACAGUAAAACAGAGAGACGAAACACUUCUUUGGUGGCACACAUAGCACCAUCUGCUGGACACAAUGGAGCAUUGCAAAUCACCAUGACUGCCUGUUAAUCAGGAUCCUCUCUGAUCCUCGCUACUUUUCGAACUCAAGCAUUACUGACCUUUGUUUGGAGAACAUUUAGAUUUUGGGCCUGUGACAUUAAGUGCUGAUGUGCUGAUGUCAAUUCAAAGUAACACCAAAGGACAAAACUGGAAUAUUAAAAAGCAACAGAGCAGUAUACUCUAUGUAUUAACCAUUGGUUAACUCAAGGGGAAAAAUGAGAACAGAGUUGCCAUUAAAAAGCAAAUAAAAAAACAAAUGGUUAAAUCAAUGUGUGGAAUAGAUAUUGCAGUGCACAAUACAAUGCAAUCAAUUGUAUACAUUUGCCAUAAAUUCAGAAUUCUAAUGUAACAUGUACAACAGACAUUAUAAUCCUAACCCAGAGUUAAAGUAUCAAAGAGACCUCUUAAAAUAUUCUCAUAAUACAAGAAUAAUACAAAUGUCUCCUCCUUAUGUGCUCUAUUAACUUCAUUGUGCUCCAGGUGGUGUUCACAACCCUUAAUUUUGUUAUCUCCACGCACUACUAAUGCCAAACACAAGAGGGAGGUAUUUCUCUAAAUUUGGCACAGUAACACAUACAGCAUGCUGAAAGUGUCUUAGGCCACCAAUUCGAUUAUAAUCUGUUCUACUUCUUUAAAUGAAACAACCAUGUCCAUGUAUUUUGUUAUUCAACUACAACCCCUAUAUUUGAUUUUCAAACUCAUCUGUUGUCUCCAAAAGGGAGACCCUGGACUGUUAAGUAACCGGUGUUGUACAUUAAGCAAAAAUGGGAAAGAAUUCAACCUUCAAAGCUUCAAUAAUUAGUUUCCUCAGUUCACAAAUGCUUGAGUGUUGUUAAAAGGAAAGGUGAUGUAACACAGAGGUGAACACGACACCGUCCCAGCUUUUUUAGAACAAGUUGCAGACAUCAAGUUCAACAUUAAAAAAUAAAUAAAGUUUAUCAGUUUGAAAAUUCAAUAUCUUGUCUGUAGAGUAUUUAAUUUAAUAUAGGUUAAAAAAGAAUUUGCAAAUCAUUGUAUUCAGUUUUUAUUCACGUUUUACUCAACAUCCCAACUUUAUUGGAAUUGAGGUUUGUAGUUAUGCACUGCUGAAUACAACUAGUUAGGCUACAAGUUACAUAAUGUUUUUUUUGUAAUUUGACUUGAGAUGUACUGUCACUCUACUGUAAGGUGGAUGUACAUAAGAGCUCUCUUCAUGCUCAGUAAAAUCAUGAACCUCAACCCGAACAGCAUUGCACAGAAAACUGCAGAACCAGGCAACAGCACCAAUGAACCCCAGUCAAAAAGAAGUCUAGCAUGCCCCUGCUAGUUCUACACACUGCAUCACAAGUAGACCUUGUUACUCUGCUCAGGAACAGGUAGAUCCAUGCAGAACUGAGGGUUCUGAUGGAUAGGGAGGGCUACAGUGAAGGACAGGGCCUCAACUUUCAUCCAAGUAAAAGUCAAAUAACUACAUAUGCAUUUGUGUCCAUGGAGAGCGCCAUGGAGUUUAAACUUUGGGGUUUGCAGUGGUGGAGAGUUGUGUCUGGCCAGGGUACAGUUUACUUUUGCACACAGGUGCCUUGUGUCUAUUUGAGCAGGUAGGACACAUGCCAAUAUCAUGAUUGUCACUGGAUUUUGACCAGUCAGAAUCAAGCUGGGUGAUUAGUAGGAAUGCUAGGUAAUAAAGGGAAUUCAGCUGUAAAAUCCACUUUAACGUGUCCAUCUUUUUUGCUCACAAAUAAUUAGGAUUUCUCUUCAUUUUCAAAACAACUUUUGGCUCCUAAACUCACCUGGAGUAAAAUAAAGGAGUCCGGUUCAUGCAGUUCUUUUUCUCAGUGUCCUCAAAUGCCCCAUACUGUACAGAUGGCUGCACUGAAUUUCUGAUCAGCUGUGGGUUAUUCUCGUAGGUGGGUGGAGUGAAAGCUGUGAGGAUAGUGAGGGCGUCGAACACAAAUGUCUUGUGGCUGUUGCAUUGCAUUCUAGUCUAUUAAGUCUGCUGUCAGUGCUGAAGCAGGUCUCUCUGCCUCUUGACUGAUGGGUUCCUGCCCGAAUGAUUGUUACACAUCAGCACAGGAGGACAUCUGUCUUUAAAUCUGAAAGGGGUGGACACCUGAUAUUUACAGUCCAUGUCGAAGACAACUCGAUGUCUCCAUAUGACAUCUCAUCAGAUAUAAUUGGCCAGUAAUCUUGGGGAACUAAAAUAAAAUAAACCAGGUUUUCAUCCUGCAUGGUCAGGUUGUCUUUUCUUUUGGACAUAUUUUUCCUUUAAACGCAUUUCUGUGUGCUUUGACCACAGAGCCAUGCUUAUAUUAUUUGAAGUGUGUGCAUGUUGAUUUCCCAAGUGUUUAGGGAAGGCUGGGUAGCUGCACAUAACACAGCAGAUGUCCAAAUAGCCCCUGGCAUUCCAUGUGAAAGUUAGAUAUUUUAACAUAUCUGCUCUCUGCAGCCAACAUUUCCAUACCAAAGAAGGGCCUUUCAAGUCCCAUGUCUGCCACCAGCCAUCUACAGCCCAGUGUUACUCAGCCCAUAUCCACAAAUCUGCUCACUAUCAGCACAAGGAAUCUUCUUGUUAGACAGGAGGCUGCUCUGUUUGUUGGAAUCGACAGGGUGCGUUUUCCGGUUUAUCUGCUAAUGAGUGUGAAUAUGCAAUCAUUCAGCUGUCUUUGUGUUUGUGUGAGGGUAUUGUCAAUAUUAAUUCUAAAAUAUCCAAUGCUUGAAGCGUGAUACAGCUCUGUAUUGAUUUGAGACAGCUUGGAGAGGAGACGCCAACAUUUGCUCUCAGGUUAAUCUCAGAUAUUUUGAUGUGGACAUGCUUCUUUAAAUUGUGCCAUGAAAGCCAAUCAUGAAAGUUUGUGAGGUCCAGGUGACAGAAUUCAGUUAUAGAAAUGCAGCCAGAAGAACUCAGAUCAAGGCUUUUCACAGGAAUCAGUAUUGUUGAAACACAAAUGUUAUUAAUCCUUUUCAAUAAUCGAAGAAUAAGGAACUUUUAUAGUUAUUUUUCAAUGACCAAAUGUUCUUCAAAAUCCCCAAAAGCCAAGGAACGUAGAGACAUCAACUCCAA